GAUGAACGCUGGCGGCGUGCCUAAUACAUGCAAGUCGAGCGAACGGACGAGAGGCUUGCUUCUCUGAUGUUAGCGGCGGACGGGUGAGUAACACGUGGAUAACCUACCCAUAAGACUGGGAUAACUUCGGGAAACCGGGGCUAAUACCGGAUAAUAUUUUGAACCGCAUGGUUCAAAAGUGAAAGACGGUCUUGCUGUCACUUAUGGAUGGAUCCGCGCUGCAUUAGCUAGUUGGUAAGGUAACGGCUUACCAAGGCAACGAUGCAUAGCCGACCUGAGAGGGUGAUCGGCCACACUGGAACUGAGACACGGUCCAGACUCCUACGGGAGGCAGCAGUAGGGAAUCUUCCGCAAUGGGCGAAAGCCUGACGGAGCAACGCCGCGUGAGUGAUGAAGGUCUUCGGAUCGUAAAACUCUGUUAUUAGGGAAGAACAUAUGUGUAAGUAACUGUGCACAUCUUGACGGUACCUAAUCAGAAAGCCACGGCUAACUACGUGCCAGCAGCCGCGGUAAUACGUAGGUGGCAAGCGUUAUCCGGAAUUAUUGGGCGUAAAGCGCGCGUAGGCGGUUUUCUAAGUCUGAUGUGAAAGCCCACGGCUCAACCGUGGAGGGUCAUUGGAAACUGGAAAACUUGAGUGCAGAAGAGGAAAGUGGAAUUCCAUGUGUAGCGGUGAAAUGCGCAGAGAUAUGGAGGAACACCAGUGGCGAAGGCGACUUUCUGGUCUGUAACUGACGCUGAUGUGCGAAAGCGUGGGGAUCAAACAGGAUUAGAUACCCUGGUAGUCCACGCCGUAAACGAUGAGUGCUAAGUGUUAGGGGGUUUCCGCCCCUUAGUGCUGCAGCUAACGCAUUAAGCACUCCGCCUGGGGAGUACGACCGCAAGGUUGAAACUCAAAGGAAUUGACGGGGACCCGCACAAGCGGUGGAGCAUGUGGUUUAAUUCGAAGCAACGCGAAGAACCUUACCAAAUCUUGACAUCCUUUGACAACUCUAGAGAUAGAGCCUUCCCCUUCGGGGGACAAAGUGACAGGUGGUGCAUGGUUGUCGUCAGCUCGUGUCGUGAGAUGUUGGGUUAAGUCCCGCAACGAGCGCAACCCUUAAGCUUAGUUGCCAUCAUUAAGUUGGGCACUCUAAGUUGACUGCCGGUGACAAACCGGAGGAAGGUGGGGAUGACGUCAAAUCAUCAUGCCCCUUAUGAUUUGGGCUACACACGUGCUACAAUGGACAAUACAAAGGGCAGCGAAACCGCGAGGUCAAGCAAAUCCCAUAAAGUUGUUCUCAGUUCGGAUUGUAGUCUGCAACUCGACUACAUGAAGCUGGAAUCGCUAGUAAUCGUAGAUCAGCAUGCUACGGUGAAUACGUUCCCGGGUCU
rnacentral:rRNA from 1 species